rnacentral:rRNA from 1 species
UAGGGAAUCUUCCGCAAUGGGCGAAAGCCUGACGGAGCAACGCCGCGUGAGUGAUGAAGGUCUUCGGAUCGUAAAACUCUGUUAUUAGGGAAGAACAAAUGUGUAAGUAACUAUGCACGUCUUGACGGUACCUAAUCAGAAAGCCACGGCUAACUACGUGCCAGCAGCCGCGGUAAUACGUAGGUGGCAAGCGUUAUCCGGAAUUAUUGGGCGUAAAGCGCGCGCAGGCGGGUUUUUAAGUCUGAUGUGAAAGCCCACGGCUCAACCGUGGAGGGUCAUUGGAAACUGGAAAACUUGAGUGCAGAAGAGGAAAGUGGAAUUCCAUGUGUAGCGGUGAAAUGCGCAGAGAUAUGGAGAAACACCAGUGGCGAAGGCGACUUUCUGGUCUGUAACUGACGCUGAUGUGCGAAAGCGUGGGGAUCAAACAGG